rnacentral:rRNA from 1 species
AAUGGGCGCAAGCCUGAACCAGCCAUCCCGCGUGCAGGAUGACGGCCCUAUGGGUUGUAAACUGCUUUUAUACAGGAAGAAAAAUCUCUACGUGUAGAGACUUGCCGGUACUGUAUGAAUAAGCAUCGGCUAACUCCGUGCCAGCAGCCGCGGUAAUACGGAGGAUGCAAGCGUUAUCCGGAUUCAUUGGGUUUAAAGGGUGCGUAGGCGGCUUUUUAAGUCAGUGGUGAAAUCCUGUCGCUCAACGAUAGAAUUGCCAUUGAUACUGAAGAGCUUGAGUUCAGUUGAGGUAAGCGGAAUGUGUAGUGUAGCGGUGAAAUGCUUAGAUAUUACACAGAACACCGAUUGCGAAGGCAGCUUACUAAACUGACACUGACGCUGAUGCACGAAAGCGUGGGGAUCGAA